GAUGAACGCUGUCUACAGGCUUAACACAUGCAAGUCGAGGGGAAACGACGGGGAAGCUUGCUUCCCCGGGCGUCGACCGGCGCACGGGUGAGUAACGCGUAUCCAACCUGCCUCUGACUGAGGGAUAACCCGUCGAAAGUCGGCCUAAUACCUCAUGGCAUCGUCUGCGGGCAUCCAACGACGAUUAAAGAUUUCAUCGGUCAGGGAUGGGGAUGCGUCUGAUUAGCUUGUUGGCGGGGUAACGGCCCACCAAGGCUACGAUCAGUAGGGGUUCUGAGAGGAAGGUCCCCCACAUUGGAACUGAGACACGGUCCAAACGCCUACGGGAGGCAGCAGUGAGGAAUAUUGGUCAAUGGGCGGGAGCCUGAACCAGCCAAGUAGCGUGCAGGAGGACGGCCCUAUGGGUUGUAAACUGCUUUUAUGCGGGGAUAAAGUGAGGGACGUGUCCUUCAUUGCAGGUACCGCAUGAAUAAGGACCGGCUAAUUCCGUG
rnacentral:rRNA from 1 species